rnacentral:lncRNA from 1 species
CACGAUUUGUCAUCAUAUUCUAGCUUGCGUUUCCAGUCCCUGUCUUCUGGAUUGUCUAUGGUUAGAGCGUUUUGCAGGGCCACUGGUUCGAUUCCUGCCAGUGGCCAGUUUCGCAACUGAAAGAAUUUUUUUGGGGAGGAAGGGUUGUAUAUUGCAUGAUUCCAUACCAAAUCCAUUUUCUUUUGUUUGUGGUUAAUAGGGAAUCAGUAGCUUUACGGAAGAUAUCAAUGGGACUCCCACUACAAGGCGUGUCAAAAGCCUGAGCAAGACGAGGUUUGUGGUAUGCUACGUUAACCAACAAAUUUGUGUAAAACAAUUUAUGCACUUGUGUUUCGUUCUUUGGCAAAGUGGCUAGAAUGCCGGAACUGUGACCGCAGUACGGUUCUUCUCCAGACAAGGAAUUGCUCGAGUAGAAAUGACACUAAUAAUUGAAAUUGAAUAUUAGAGAGAGUACAGUCAUCAAAAGCACACAAUGUGUAUAUAGUUGGUCAGUUCAUUGAACUUGAAGGACUUUAGGAUUUCGUCCAGACUAAGAUAAAAAAG